rnacentral:rRNA from 1 species
UACGAAGGGGGCUAGCGUUGCUCGGAAUCACUGGGCGUAAAGCGCACGUAGGCGGAUUCCUAAGUCGGGGGUGAAAUCCUGGAGCUCAACUCCAGAACUGCCUUCGAUACUGAGGAUCUUGAGUUCGGGAGAGGUGAGUGGAACUGCGAGUGUAGAGGUGAAAUUCGUAGAUAUUCGCAAGAACACCAGUGGCGAAGGCGGCUCACUGGCCCGAUACUGACGCUGAGGCACGAAAGCGUGGGGAGCAAACAGG